rnacentral:rRNA from 1 species
GAUGAACGCUAGCUACAGGCCUAACACAUGCAAGUCGAGGGGAAACGGCAGCUUAGCUUGCUAAGCUGGACGUCGACCGGCGCACGGGUGAGUAACGCGUAUCCAACCUGCCCCACGGUGAGGGAUAACCCCGCGGAAACGCGGCCUAAUACCUCAUGGCCUCCGAGCUUGACAUCAACCUUGGAGUAAAGAUUCAUUGCCGUGGGAUGGGGAUGCGUCUGAUUAGCUUGUUGGCGGGGCAACGGGCCCACCAAGGCUACGAUCAGUAGGGGUUCCUGAGAGGAAGGUCCCCCCACAUUGGAACUGAGACAC